rnacentral:rRNA from 1 species
UCUCUUGAGAGCGGCGGACGGGUGAGUAWUGCCUAGGAAUCUGCCUGRUAGUGGGGGAUAACGUUCGGAAACGGACGCUAAUACCGCAUACGUCCUACGGGAGAAAGCAGGGGACCUUCGGGCCUUGCGCUAUCAGAUGAGCCUAGGUCGGAUUAGCUAGUUGGUGAGGUAAUGGCUCACCAAGGCGACGAUCCGUAACUGGWCUGAGAGGAUGAUCAGUCACACUGRAACUGAGACACGUCCAGACUCCUACGGGAGGCAGCRGWGKKGAAUAUUGGACAAUGGCGAAAGCUGAUCCAGCCUGCCGCGUGUGUGAAGAAGGCUUCGGUUG